rfam:Capsicum annuum cultivar Zunla-1 chromosome 9, whole genome shotgun sequence
UGUUGCCUAUGGUAUCUAAUGUCCAGACUACUUCGUUGCUGGGUGUUUUGUUUUACGGGCAGAAAUUGAACAAAAGAGUAGAUCUUGCGACACAGUUGGCUUCUAUAUCGAUAAGCCUUCUGUUACUUAAGCCCUACUUACACCU